AGUCUCACGGAGCUACGCCGCGUGAGUGAUGAAGGUUUUCGGAUCGUAAAACUCUGUUGUUAGGGAAGAACAAGUUGGGUAGUAACUGACCCAACCUUGACGGUACCUAACCAGAAAGCCACGGCUAACUACGUGCCAGCAGCCGCGGUAAUACGUAGGUGGCAAGCGUUGUCCGGAAUUAUUGGGCGUAAAGCGCUCGCAGGCGGUCCUUUAAGUCUGAUGUGAAAUCUCGCGGCUCAACCGCGAACGGUCAUUGGAAACUGGAGGACUUGAGUACAGAAGAGGAGAGUGGAAUUCCACGUGUAGCGGUGAAAUGCGUAGAGAUGUGGAGGAACACCAGUGGCGAAGGCAACUCUCUGGUCUGUAACUGACGCUGAGGAGCGAAAGCGUGGGGAGCGAACAGGAUUAGAUACCCUGGUAGUCCACGCCGUAAACGAUGAGUGCUAGGUGUUAGGGGGUUUCCGCCCCUUAGUGCUGAAGUUAACGCAUUAAGCACUCCGCCUGGGGAGUACGGCCGCAAGGCUGAAACUCCAAGGAAUUGACGGGUGUGCCGCACAAGCGGUGGAGCAUGUGGGAAAAUUCGAAGCAACGCGAAGAACCUUACCAGGUCUUUGACAUCUUCGGACAA
rnacentral:rRNA from 1 species